GACGAACGCUGGCGGCGUGCUUAACACAUGCAAGUCGAACGGAAAGGCCCUGCUUUUGUGGGGUGCUCGAGUGGCGAACGGGUGAGUAACACGUGAGUAACCUGCCCUUGACUUUGGGAUAACUUCAGGAAACUGGGGCUAAUACCGGAUAGGGGCUCCUGCUGCAUGGUGGGGGUUGGAAAGUUUCGGCGGUUGGGGAUGGACUCGCGGCUUAUCAGCUUGUUGGUGGGGUAGUGGCUUACCAAGGCUUUGACGGGUAGCCGGCCUGAGAGGGUGACCGGCCACAUUGGGACUGAGAUACGGCCCAGACUCCUACGGGAGGCAGCAGUGGGGAAUAUUGCACAAUGGGCGGAAGCCUGAUGCAGCAACGCCGCGUGCGGGAUGACGGCCUUCGGGUUGUAAACCGCUUUCGCCUGUGACGAAGCGUGAGUGACGGUAGUGGGUAAAGAAGCACCGGCUAACUACGUG
rnacentral:rRNA from 1 species